AGGGGUGUAGUUCAGUGGUAGAGUGCUUGCCUAGCAUGCGUGAAGACCUGGGUUUGAGUCCCAGCACUGCAA
rnacentral:tRNA from 1 species